AGUGAACGCUGGCGGCAGGCCUAACACAUGCAAGUCGAGCGGCAGCACGGCAAUAGCAAUAUUGUGGGUGGCGAGCGGCGGACGGGUGAGGAAUGCAUCGGGAUCUACCCUGUCGUGGGGGACAACGUAGGGAAACUUACGCUAAUACCGCAUGAUCUGGAGACAGCAAAGCCGGGGACCCGCGAGGGCCUGGCGCGAUGGGAUGAGCCGAUGUCCGAUUAGCUAGUUGGCGGGGUAAAGGCCCACCAAGGCGACGAUCGGUAGCUGGUCUGAGAGGACGACCAGCCACACUGGAACUGAGACACGGUCCAGACUCCUACGGGAGGCAGCAGUGGGGAAUAUUGGACAAUGGGGGGCAACCCUGAUCCAGCCAUGCCGCGUGGGUGAAGAAGGCCUCGG
rnacentral:rRNA from 1 species